rnacentral:rRNA from 1 species
AGAGUGAACGCUGGCGGUAGGCCUAACACAUGCAAGUCGAACGGCAGCACAGUGGUAGCAAUACCAUGGGUGGCGAGUGGCGGACGGGUGAGGAAUACAUCGGAAUCUACCUUUUCGUGGGGGAUAACGUAGGGAAACUUACGCUAAUACCGCAUACGCCCUUUGGGGGAAAGCCGGGGAUCGCAAGACCUGGCGCGGAUAGAUGAGCCGAUGUCGGAUUAGCUAGUUGGUGAGGUAAUGGCUCACCAAGGCGACGAUCCGUAGCUGGUCUGAGAGGAUGAUCAGCCACACUGGAACUGAGACACGGUCCAGACUCCUACGGGAGGCAGCAGUGGGAAUAUUGGACAAUGGGCGCAAGCCUGAUCCAGCCAUACCGCGUGGGUGAAGAGGGCCUUCGGUUGUAAAGCCCUUUUGUUAGGAAAGUAAAAGCAAUCGGUUAAUACCCGGUUGUUCGUGACGUACCCAAAGAAUAAGCACCGGCUAACUUCGUGACCAGCAGCCGAGUAACUC